UGGGGAAUAUUGCACAAUGGGCGAAAGCCUGAUGCAGCAACGCCGCGUGAGUGAUGAAGGCCUUCGGGUUGUAAAGCUCUGUCUUUUGGGACGAUAAUGACGGUACCAAAGGAGGAAGCCACGGCUAACUACGUGCCAGCAGCCGCGGUAAUACGUAGGUGGCAAGCGUUGUCCGGAUUUUACUGGGCGUAAAGGAUGCGUAGGCGGAUUUUUCAAGUGAGAUGUGAAAACCCUAAGCUUAACUUGGGGACUGCAUUUCAUACUGGAAAUCUAGAGUGCGGGAGAGGAGAAUGGAAUUCCUAGUGUAGCGGUGAAAUGCGUAGAGAUUAGGAAGAACACCAGUGGCGAAGGCGAUUCUCUGGACCGUAACUGACGCUGAGGCAUGAAAGCGUGGGUAGCAAACAGGAUUAGAUACCCUGGUAGUCCACGCCGUAAACGAUGAGUACUAGGUGUAGGAGGU
rnacentral:rRNA from 1 species